CCCUUAGAUGUUCUGGGCCGCACGCGCGCUACACUGAUGAAUUCAACGAGCUCCUAACCUAGGCCGAAGGGUCCGGGUAAUCUUUGAAAUUUCAUCGUGAUGGGGAUAGAUUAUUGCAAUUAUUAAUCUUCAACGAGGAAUUCCUAGUAAGCGCGGGUCAUCAGCUCGCGUUGAUUACGUCCCUGCCCUUUGUACACACCGCCCGUCGCUCCUACCGAUUGAAUGGUCCGGUGAAAUGUUCGGACCGCGACAAGGCGGACGGUUCGCUGUCAGCUUUGCUGCGGGAAGUUCAUUAAACCUUAUCAUUUAGAGGAAGGAGAAGUCGUAACA
rnacentral:rRNA from 1 species